AUUCGAUGAUGAUCAAGUAAAUAACAGUUCUGCUUCUGUAAACUCGCUGAAGAUAACUAUUUACCAAAAGACACUUUCUAACGC
rnacentral:snoRNA from 1 species